CUGAAACCUGGAAGCUGGGUUGUUGGUCCCACAGACCAGAGUGGAAACUUGUGGUGUUUUCUCCAAGCCUGCUUAUGCCUGCCCUGGACCUAUCAGCGCACACCUCCUCCCCUCUGAGGCCCAUAUAAGCUCCAGAUUCAGUCAGACUUGAGGAGAUGACAGGAUGACAGGCUGCAGAGAAGACCUACCCACCAAAGGCUCUCCUCUCUACUGAGAGCUGAGGAGAUGACGGGACAGCAAGCUGCAGAAAGUAGCUACCCACCCCGGGGUCUCCCCUCUGCUGAGAGCUGAAGAGACAACAGGAGAGCAAGGACUCACAGGGAACUGGCACCUCUGUCUGUGCCUGGAGCUGCCUGUCCCAUUGCAGCCAUCAUGCCUGGCUGUAAGCAGUGGCCAGAACUCAUGUUUGCUUGCUCACACACCCCUCACCACUCUGCUUGCCCUUGGAAAGCAUGGGAUCCAGGCUGGGAGAGUGAGGCCAGUGCAGGCUGCCAAGCCGAGUAGGCAAAAUGAGCCCAGAGGGCCUGAGCAAAACGGGGGCAAAGGUGCCACUGCCCACAGUGGUUUCUAGCUGGAAAAACAACACUCCAAGGAUUCCGUAACAUUUCACAGGGCUCGUCCAGGAUCUGCAAAGAAAAAAGCGUCUUGAUAUGUUGCCAGGCAAGGGUCUUGAACUCCUGUCCUCAAGCAAUCCUU
rnacentral:lncRNA from 10 species